rnacentral:piRNA from 1 species
UGGUAUCGUGCCUAAUUCCCAAGCGUCCA